CGCCAACACGCCAAACACCUCGGGGCGAGAGAGCGCGUGGUCGACCCCCGCGAGGUCGCCCGCCGUGCACACUGCCGCCAGCGUGGCCAGGCGGUACUUGCGCCUGUGCAGCGCAUGCUCGCCCACGACGUGAAAUCGGCGCCAGGCCAACAGGCACGCGCCCAGGGACUGAUCGUCGAGGAAGCGGUCGACCACGCGCGCAAGCACUUCAUUCGGGACGAGGUCGAUCGGCGGCCGUUCCGCCAUUGUCGGCUGUUGUCGUUGUUGGUUGUCGGCGACCACAACAGAGGUGGCCAUGCUCGGGUGACUCGGGCUGGGAAAGGAUCAAAUCGCGCCGCCUCUCUUUUUUUUUUACUUUUUUCGGCGGCUCGCUUUCCAUGUCUUGUGUUUUUUUUUCGAAUAAAAGAACAAGAAC
rnacentral:lncRNA from 1 species